rnacentral:rRNA from 1 species
UGCGGAGGGUGCAAGCGUUAUCCGGAUUUACUGGGUUUAAAGGGUGUGUAGGCGGAUUAUUAAGUCAGCGGUGAAAUCUCCGGGCUCAACCCGGAAACUGCCAUUGAUACUAUUAGUCUUGAAUAUUGUUGAGGUGGGCGGAACGGGUCAUGUAGCGGUGAAAUGCAUAGAUAUGACCCGGAACACCGAUUGCGAAGGCAGCCCACUAAGCAAUGAUUGACGCUGAGGCACGAAAGCGUGGGGAUCAAACAGG